rnacentral:tRNA from 1 species
CAUUAGAUGACUGAAAGAAAGUAAUGGUCUCUUAAACCAAAUAAUAGUAAGUAACGACUACUUCUAAUGA